GCUGGGCAUGGUGGCUUAUGCCUGUAAUCCCAGCACUGUGGGAGGCUGAGGCAGGCGGAUCACCUGAGGUCAGGAGUUCAAGACCAGCCUGACCAACAUGGAGAAACCCUGUCUCUA
rnacentral:SRP_RNA from 2 species